CACUGUUUUCGUCUUACUCUCCUUGUUGAUAGCGAUCCCAGCCUAGGCGUUCGUGAUUACUCGGGUCACUUCACGUAGAUAGGGAAAGUUUAUAAAUAUCAACCACACUUUAUCGGAAAUCCCCUGGUUGUGUCAACAGCGUAAAUUUCCCCUUCAGUCAUUUUUAUUGAUUUUUUAAUUUUACAAUUUUGAGCAAAGUAGGCGGCGGAUUUCCUUCAAGUAGACGACGAAAAUCGCCGCCUACCGCCUUCUAUUGAAAGCCCUGA
rnacentral:lncRNA from 1 species